UUAAGACAUAAAAAUAUGCCGGAUAAUACAAUCAACCGAUUAAAAUUCAAAGGAUAUGGCGGUGUUUUUAUAUAAUCAGGGGAACCUGUUUCUUAAUUCGAUAACCCACGAAAGCUCAACCUUUUUUGAAUAUUCAGCCUGUGUACUGCUGUCGCAAGUAAACCUAUAAAAGAUAGUUUACAAUAAAUAAUAUCUAUUUUACGUCAAGUCAAAGUGCAGCUAAUAAAAAGGAGAUAAUGGGUUACAACCUAAAACAUAGACUUACGGAAAAGUAAAAUAAAAAUACUUUGAAGGUGGACUUGACAGUAAUAUUUAUAAAUAACAAAUAUAAAAAUUUCUAAAACAUGUACACAUCGCCCGUCACUCUCAUCUAAAGACG
rnacentral:rRNA from 1 species